rnacentral:lncRNA from 1 species
UUGGUUUAUUAUAUCUGUAAGUUAUAUUUUUUCAGCAUCUACUUUGUUUAAAAAGACUUUCUCUAAUUCUUCAUCAAUUUAUCCCUUUCUUCACCCAUUUUAUAAAAAAAAUUUAAUCAACGUGUGGUUCGUUUGAUGUCAGUACUUCAUUGGAUAAAAUCUGAUUAUGAUGUCGAAUUUUCUUGCUCUCCUCAGAAAUUCCUAUUGUGACGACAUGAAAAAAGGCCACCAUGUCUGAUGACGUGACAUAGAAAGAACCAUAUCAUUUUUGCAGAUCAUUGGAAAAGAAGGAAUAAGUUUGCCUGCAUAAUGUUAGAAAAUCAUUAGAGAAACAGAUUCCACCACCAAAUCUCUUGUAAUACGAUAUUUAUCCACUCUCGACAGUUAAAUUUUAAAUAUUUAAAACGCUCGGGCAAGCCUCGCGUUUUAAAUUUGAAAAUUUAACUGUCUCGAGUGGAUAAAUAUCGUAUUACACUCGAUGCAGUGGUAGAAUCUAUAUUUAAACCACAAAAAGAAAAACCUAUGCUUAAUUAUAUUUGCUUAACUUAUUAAAUUUUAGGUUCUUUACCUUGACAUGUUAAAAAUUUUAAUAAAUGGUCAACUAAUGCAUUACGAAAUCUUGGUUAAAGCUUGAUAUGAAAACACAUUUGGAGUUGUUUGUUAAGUCAGCUUAAAUAUCAAGAAUCAAUGCAUUCUGCUGUAUAGAAGGGGUAAAGUUAUAAUUUUGAAUCAAUUUUUAUUGAUAUUCUGCUUUUUUGGCAGAGUUAUCUCCCAUUGUAAUGCAAAUCUCCAUAGGAAUUAUAAAAUCUUUAUAUUUUUAUAGUCUUCCUCAAGUUAUAUUUUGUUGGACUUUUUUCUGUGUAUAUUUUGGGUAUAAUGCUUAAGAUUAAAACUUUAAAAUCUUCUGUUGCAAUUACUUUGAGGUUAGGGUCCAAUUUUGGCUUAAUUGACUGGACUAUAAUGAUUAUUAUAUAUGCUAAUACUUCAUUUUU